UGGGGAAUAUUGGGCAAUGGGCGCAAGCCUGACCCAGCCAUGCCGCGUGCGGGACGAAGGCGCACAGCGUUGUAAACCGCUUUUCUCCGGGGAUAAGGCACUCUACGGGAGUGAUUGAAGGUACUGGAGGAAUCAGCACCGGCAAACUACGUGCCAGCAGCCGCGGUAAUACGUAGGGUGCAAGCGUUGUCCGGAUUUACUGGGUUUAAAGGGUGCGUAGGCGGGCUGUUAAGUCUGGGAUGAAAUUAUCUCGCUCAACGGGGUAGCUGUCCUGGAUACUGACGGUCUUGAGUUGGGAUGAGGUUGCUGGAAUGAGUGGUGUAGCGGUGAAAUGCGUAGAGAUCACUCAGAACACCGAUUGCGAAGGCAGGCGACUGGGCCCAUACUGACGCUGAGGCAC
rnacentral:rRNA from 1 species